rnacentral:rRNA from 1 species
AGUGAACGCUGGCGGUAGGCCUAACACAUGCAAGUCGAACGGCAGCACAGUAAGAGCUUGCUCUUACGGGUGGCGAGUGGCGGACGGGUGAGGAAUACAUCGGAAUCUACUUUUUCGUGGGGGAUAACGUAGGGAAACUUACGCUAAUACCGCAUACGACCUACGGGUGAAAGCAGGGGAUCUUCGGACCUUGCGCGAUUGAAUGAGCCGAUGUCGGAUUAGCUAGUUGGCGGGGUAAAGGCCCACCAAGGCGACGAUCCGUAGCUGGUCUGAGAGGAUGAUCGGCCAAACUGGAACUGGGACACGGUCCAGACUCCUACGGGAGGCAGCAGUGGGGAAUAUUGGACAAUGGGCGCAAGCCUGAUCCAGCCAUACCGCGUGGGUGAAGAAGGCCUUCGGGUUGUAAAGCCCUUUUGUUGGGAAAGAAAAGCAGCAGGUUAAUACCCCGCUGUUCUGACGGUACCCAAAGAAUAAGCACCGGCUAACUUCGUG